AUUGAACGCUGGCGGCAUGCCUUACACAUGCAAGUCGAACGGUAACAGGUCUUCGGAUGCUGACGAGUGGCGAACGGGUGAGUAAUACAUCGGAACGUGCCUAGUAGUGGGGGAUAACUACUCGAAAGAGUGGCUAAUACCGCAUGAGAUCUACGGAUGAAAGCAGGGGAUCGCAAGACCUUGUGCUACUAGAGCGGCCGAUGGCAGAUUAGGUAGUUGGUGGGAUAAAAGCUUACCAAGCCGACGAUCUGUAGCUGGUCUGAGAGGACGAUCAGCCAAGCUGGGACUGAGACACGGCCCAGACUCCUACGGGAGGCAGCAGUGGGGAAUUUUGGACAAUGGGCGCAAGCCUAAUCCAGCAAUGCCGCGUGCAGGAUGAAGGCCUUCGGGUUGUAAACUGCUUUUGUACGGAACGAAAAGCCCUGGGUUAAUACCCUGGGGUCAUGACGGUACCGUAAGAAUAAGCACCGGCUAACUACGUGCCAGCCGCCGCGGUAAUAC
rnacentral:rRNA from 1 species